CAUCGCGGACGGUCUCCACCCUUCUUCCCUCCUCUGUUUCUUCUACAGCUCCGGAACGAGUUCUAUGAGACCAAAAUUGAUUCCUUACUUCGAGUCACCACACUCUAAAGCUGCAUUGUUUUUAGCUCACCAGGGAAGUGCUGCUAUCCUUCGAAGGUUGUUUCCUCCCCAACCCUCUGGAGAUAAGAUCCUCUGGUUUCUUUACGCUGGUACUG